rnacentral:rRNA from 1 species
CAGCCGCCGCGGUAAAACGUAGGGGGCAAGCGUUAUCCGGAAUUACUGGGUGUAAAGGGAGCGUAGACGGUUAAACAAGUCUGAAGUGAAAUGCCGGGGCUCAACCCCGGAGCUGCUUUGGGAACUGUAGAACUGGAGUGUCGGAGGGGUAAGCGGAAUUCCCAGUGUAGCGGUGAAAUGCGUAGAUAUUGGGAGGAACACCGGCGGCGAAGGCGGCUUACUGGACGACAACUGACGUUGAGGCUCGAAGGCGUGGGUAGCAAACUGGAUUAGAGACCCCUGUAGUCCCUGUCUCUUAUAC